GAAGCUGCUAGAAGCUUCCCACAUGUUCAACAGAACCAGUGCUAGCUUGUUCCAAGAUGAACCCACCACUGGCCAAGGCCAAAUCCAUCAGCUGUGAUGGUAGCACCUCUGGGAUAAUACAGUGAAGAAGAGGUAAAAACUGCUCCACAAUAGUAGCUGGGAGAGAGGAGUGAGAAUAGGUGAGAGAAACAACCUUGCAGCAACCAAGAGGUUUUUGUGCUGGGUCUUGGGGACUUGGUAGGGAGCCAAAUAAAAUUUAGACAGCUGUGAAGCCUGCACUGAAGCAGGGUCCUGACAGGACCUGUGGCCCUGAGAAGAGAGGAGCCCAUACUGGAGCAGUUCAUGAAGAACUGGAGCCCAUGGGGAGGACCCAUGUUGGAAAAGUUCACAGAUGUUUGCCUCCAUGGGAGGGACCCCAUGCCAGAGCAGAGGAAGAGUGUGAGGAGUCCUCCCCCUGGAGAGGAAGGAGCAGCAGAGACAACAAUGAACUGACUGCAGUCCCCAUUGAGAUUAAAGUUAGGCUCAAGAAGAAGGGAGGAUUGUUAAGGAGAUGUUUUAAGACUUAGUUUUUUUUUUAUUUCUCUACUGAUUUGAUUGGAAGAAUUUAAAUUAAUUUCCCCAAGUCAAGUCUCUUUUGCCUGUGACUGUAAUUGCUGGAUGAUAUCUUCCUGCCCUUAUCUUGACCCAUGAGACUUUUAUUACUUUUUCUCUGCCCUGUGAUGGAGCUGCUUGGCAGGCAUCUGAUAUGCAGCUAAGGUCAAACUCACCACAACAGUACUUCAGGCAGCCUUCUUUUCCUUUCUGAUUCUCAGUGACUUCUCCAUUCAAACUUUGUAUUAACCUUUAAAUCUCAUUAGAUUUGACAAUUUAUGGUACAUAUUCUUUGCAAAUCUGUCAUUAUCUCUGCAUUCUGGAACUGAAUCGUGAAAAGGAAGUAAGUAGUGAUCUAGUUCUAUGUUAGUAUUUGUGAGUUUUCCACUGAAAGGUGGGAUUAAAGAAACAGAAGAUAUCUGAUCAGUGUUUAGUGUCUCACUUAAAGCUGCACAUCACUUAGAGCAUAACAAUGCUUUCUCAUGCCAAGCCAUUAUCUCUGCUAUAUGCAUAUUAUACCUAUGUAUUGCCCACAGUGAUAUUUGUCACUUAGGCAGACAAUUCAGAUGUGAUACCAGAAAUGCAGCAGUAGAUGGCAUAAUUACGCUGUGACCUGGUAGAAAUUUCAGCUUCACUCUUCUCUUUUGUCUAAGUCACGCAGAUCAAAUACUGAAAAAAAGUGCUCUAUACACAGCACAUUUUGCUCUCAGACUGAGGAAUUAUGAAGCUGGCUGAUCAACCAUAAGAGCAGAAACAACAUGGUGGAAAAUGGAGUUAUGUUUUCUUGUAAAAGAAGGUUGUGCUCUAGGCCUAAAUUCUUAAAAGAGUGGUCAGAAACAAGCUGGAAUUCAAUGUUUAAAUUACCUUCUUGGAAUUGCAAGCAAUAAAAGUUUCAGAAAAGAAAUCCAUCCAUUCUUAUGUAGAUAUGUGGGUAAUGUGGUUAGCGUUACUAACUCUUGCUUUAAGACUACUUUCUUCCAUACAGAUUUUAAGGCAAGGUUGGUUGGACACUAUAGCUUUGGCGGUUUUUUUAAGGAAUCAUAAUUACAUUUAGAACUAACCAUAAAUCAGAUUUUUCCCUUGGUAUUCACAGCUAUCAUAGCUUUUCAAAAAUUUCAUAUGAAGUCAUUUUAAAUUACAGUAAAAUCCCUCACUGCAUUUCAGGCUAUGAUUUGAAAGUGAGGAGUAAAUAUUAAACAGGUAAAAAACCACACCAUAAACAACAUAAUAGAACAGCUUCAAAGUCACAUGCAGCAGUAAAACCAAGCUUCCAUUACUGGUAGGGGUUAGCA